UCAACCAAUUCCCAGCCUUCUUCA
rnacentral:siRNA from 1 species